AGUUUGUAUGUAAUUGUGGUUGAAUUUCAAGCUGUUUCACCUUAAGAAUUGGUCACAUAUUUCUCGGGACAUUCAGAAAAUUUACAUUAAAAGACGUCGAGGGAAAAGCAGUAUAAUUCUGUGCCAAUUUUCGAAUUUCCAUACAAAGUAGGCCAAAAUCGUAUGAAUUGGGUUUGAGUGGCGUGAGAUGAGAACUGUCGGUGUCGUGUAGCGAGGUGACAAUUGUCGACUCGAGUGAAGUGACUCGUCGUGUAAAUCAAAUGGAGAGUCACUUCACUCGAGUCGAGAGUAGUCACUUCGCUAUACGACACCGACAACUCCCACCUCACGCCACUCGUAGAAUAAACCCAUAUGAGUCGAAAAAUAGUGCUGGGUUGAAAAUUGGUGCUCUUCCACUACUGAGUAUUUGAUUUUUUUUAAUAUUUUUGAAAUAUUCACAUAUUUCUAUAGGUAUAUUCACAGCACACAGAAGUUACCAGUAAGAGCACAACUCAGAACUAAAAAACAUGAUCGAUUGGUCAUCACCAAGUGAGUGACCAUCCGAUCAAAUUUUCAGUUUGAAAGUUGUCAAGUUCACUAGAUUGAUGCCCUUGAUAAUUUGAAGUUUGGCUUCAAUUCAUCUUUGCCUUAGAGGUGUUUUCAUCUUGGAACAUUCCGAAAACUUUUGAAAUAUGUUUAAUUUUUUUUCAAAAGUUUUUUUUAUUCCCCAAGAUAAGAUGAUCUCUGAAAAUUCUGUAAUAUAUCUUCAAAUCUGAAAGUGGAUCAGAAAGUCCUUAGAAGCUUAAAGAAAAAUGUAAUCGUAUUUGAAAAAUGCUUUGAAUUUUCCUAAAGUACAUUGUGGAUUCAUAGGAUGUUCAGAAAUUUUUAGAAUGUUUUUGAAAUAAUCACAAAUUUCCUAAAAUAUUUCAGACAAUUUUCGUGAUAACCUUAAAGUUCUUGAAAGUGUCUAGACCUACUCAGAACGUAUAGAGAAACUUAAUAUAAAGGAAGUUCUAUAAAUGUCAACAUAUUGCAUUAUUGAAGUAUGAAAAACAUUCCCUUAUUAUCUAGGUACACCUGUGCAAGUGUCACAAUCCUGGAAACUGUUCGACCCCAAAAUAAUCGAAAAACGUCGUUCCGAAACCCGUUUCCACCAAAAAAAUCUUUAUGCCUUCUAACAUUAAAACAUUCCUAACGCUGUAUUUCCCAUAUAUAUUUUUUGUAUAGGUUCGCCAUCAUUUCAACACUGACUGAUGAAACUGUUCUGUUUCACUAGCUUUUUUCAUAACGCAACUAAUUUGCAUUUCGGAAUAGGUAUCUUUCUUGUCCGAGACACUUCGCCGCUGUUGCUUUCUCCACACACCCACACAAAAUAACAAACACUCGAAAUAAAGAUUAAAAGAAAAUCGCGACCACAAAUUGGAAAAUAAGGAUUUUUUGAUCGGUUCGUAAAUUAUUCUUCGUUCUUAACAUGUAAGAAGCAAAACAACAGCAAGUCUAAAGUGUAAGUGAUACUGGCAAGGAAAAGAGAGAAAGUAAGGCGAAUAACAAAUUAGCAUUUGUUCUAGUUUCUUUUAGCGAUGUAAGGUGGUUUUUAUACUUAGGGAACUUUGAACUAGAAUUUGGUAUGGAUAGAGUGCGAGAGGAAACGAGCGAUUGAGAGAAGAGCGAAUGGACGGUUUAACGGUGGAGUUCUAAAUUCCCCAGCAGAUAGAACAAUAACUUGCUAGUGCGUAAUACAAUUUAUAAUCCUACGUAGAAAACAAGACGAAGAGAAAUUCGAAUGUGCAGCUAAACUUUGUUGUUGAAUGAAUAGAUAAAAAAACUCAAAAAUGUAUUUUCUUAGCUAGCAUUUACAUUUACCCUUUUUGUCACAAUAGAGAAGCCCGUUGAGAGAAUUUGUACAAUGUGAGAAAUUCGUUGAGUCGUAUGUAUAUGCAUAUAAUAUACUAAGUGGAUAUUUUUACAAAGUAACCAUUUUAUAUUGUAUAAUAGUUGAAACCAAUUCCAUUACAAAACAAGUGCCUUUAAAAUGUAAAACAAAAGAAACGUAAUAUAAAUACACUAAUUUCAUGUAACGAAACAUAACUAGAGAAGCAAAACGAAGCAUGGACCAUACUGUCAUACCAAUUAACAUAUUUGAUUAUAAACCCGUAAACUACUAGUUACGAUUAUAUUGGCGCAAGAAUCAAACCAACAUUGUGAGCUUUAGGUAAAUGCAUCAACAUUUUUUUACUUCCAAUUGAUCGGCUCAUCUAAUAUAUGUAUGAAACAUGAGAACGGA